rnacentral:rRNA from 1 species
UUAUAGCUUGCUAUGAUAAAAAUUAGUGGCAGACGGGUGAGUAAUGCAUAGGAAUCUACCUAGUAGUAUGGGAUAGCCACUAGAAAUGGUGGGUAAUACUGUAUAAUCCCUGCGGGGGAAAGAUUUAUCGCUAUUAGAUGAGCCUAUGUUAGAUUAGCUAGUUGGUAGGGUAAAGGCCUACCAAGGCAGUGAUCUAUAGCUGGUCUGAGAGGAUGAUCAGCCACACUGGAACUGAGAUACGGUCCAGACUCCUACGGGAGGCAGCAGUGGGGAAUAUUGGACAAUGGGCGCAAGCCUGAUCCAGCUAUGCCGCGUGAGUGAGGAAGGCCUUAGGGUUGUAAAACUCUUUCAGUGGGGAAGAUAAUGACGGUACCCACAGAAGAAGUCCCGG